rnacentral:lncRNA from 1 species
AGAACACAGACAAUAGGAAAUGAAAUGAGCAGAGAUAAUUCAUAAGAAUGUUUUAGAAAAGAAAUUAAGCUUCGGUGAAGCUUGGGGGCUUGUAGGCAAUGAAACUGAUGCAUUGGACUUGACGGGUGUUGUCGAAUCCGAUGAUCCUAAUGAAGGCGCCCGGGUACUCCUUCUUGCAUUCUUCAACUUCCUUCAACACUUGAGCGGAGUCGGUGCAUCCGAACAAUGGAAGCUUCCACAUUGUCCAGUACCGUCCAUCGUAGUAUCCGGGAGUGUUUCCGUGCUCACGGUACACAAAUCCGUGCUAUAAACACAUAAGAAAACCAUUCAAUACAAUUGAUAUUGGAGGAUAUGCACAAGGUGAUAUAGUCUAUUUCGGUUCUACAAAAUCCGGUUAUAGGCUAAUAUUUCUAGCAAUGAAAACGAAUAAAUAAUAAUGAUUAGUAGACAAAAGAAAACUUUUGUGUUUAUUACCUCUAACUCGAAUUCAACACAAGGAAUCCACUUGUUGCGGAGAAGGUAGUCAACUUCCUUAGCCAAUUCGACGUCACUAAGGUCAGGGAGGUAAGAUAGAGUCUCAAACUUCUUCUUUCCAAUUGGUGGCCACACCUAUAAUCCCCAAAUCCAAUUCCAAAUUAAUAUAUCCUAUGUUUUGUUUUAUUGCACAUGACAAAAGACAGUUUUUAUUGAUGAUAUUACCUUCAUGCAGCUAACUCUUCCCCCGUUGCUUGCGAUGGAAGUGAUGUCCUUGUUGGUCUUGCGGGUGACCGGGAAUGCAGCGGAUGACUUCAAGCCGGUGAAUGGAGCGACCAUGGUGGCCUGAGCCGGGGAUGUAACCACAGCGGCGGAGGAGAGCAUAGAGGAAGCCAUUACUACUUCUUGUUGUUUCUCUUCUUCUUUUGCUCGUUUACUUACUGACUUGUUUUCCUACUGGUGUUGUCAUCUUUAUAUAAUGAGAACCCCCUAAAGGCGAAAAGCCCUCAUGAUCAAAGGGUCCAUGAUUCAUGAUAACGUCGUUUACUGCCACAGGAUUAAGGAAAGGUGUUGACACCCUUAUCGGUACGCACCACUAGGAUAAGGCCACGUGGCAGAAAACUCCAUUAUCUUAUCUUUUCUCUUGUGGGGGAAAUGAAGUGAAUGUGCGGUUACUGGUCUCCACUUGAUCGGUUGCUUUUGGCUCCUUUCGUUUGGGAGAAAAGAAACCAGACGCAUUACCUUAAAUUUAAUGCUUUUGGUCUUUUGGACCUCUUAUUUACCAUGUAUGAUUUAAUUUGGCUUAACACUUUCUUUGGAAAUAAGGUCGCAUUAAAAAAUAGUUAUAACAAAAUUAUUUAAAUUUGAUAUUUACAUAAAUAUAUUGUAUGAUAUUUAUCCGGACAAAAAAAAAAGCUUUAACCAUCUCCAAUAUUUGUUUCUAUUAUUUUCUUUCUGAAUAUAGAGGAAAAAAUAUAAUAGAGAUUUAUAUUUUAACUUCAAUGGUUCCUCAAAAAUUCGUUAGAAAAAAUAAAUAAGAGAAAAAAUAAAAAUCUCUAUUUUUUGCUUUAGAAAAAAAAUUAGAAAUUUCUAUUUUACAAAUGAAAAUAGAGAUGAGUUAGAGUUAAAUAAAUACAAAAAUAGAGUAUAUAAAUAAAAAUAGAGAUAGAUUCGAGAUGCUCUUAAAAAUAUUCAUUACUCUUUCCGUUUUAUUAAUAUCAAUUGUUAAGAUUUUUCAGGCAGACUUAUAAAUAAGAUUCCAUUUCAGACUAAUGGAAGUAAACCUAUCAAAAGAAUUCUAACGUGCUGUAGAGAGACUCCUUCGUCAUCGUCCCUUUUGUGAAAGAGUAAAUUAAAGAAUCCAUAAUGAGCAUAGUGUAAGAAGAACCAUUUAUCUAUUAGAUAUAUUCUAGUACUGGUAGACUGUCGAUUCUGGAUACAUCCUGAAAAUCAUUUACCACAAUAAAUUGUCGAUAAUCUUUUUGUUGGAAAAGUUAUAUAUUAUCUUCAAAUGAUAAUAUAUUAGUCGACAAAAGAAAAGCGAGACAAAAUUUGAAUACAUUGAUUUCGGUUAAUUCAAUACUUUCACUUCAUUUUUAGCAAAUAGUACUUUUAUUUCUGAUUUUUAUGUGGCUAGGAUAAAAGCAAAACCUUACUGGUUGGAGAGAGUAAAUAUUUGAGUCGAUACUAACAACAACUACAUCAUGCAAGAUAUGUUUGUGGGACAAAGAGACCGAGCGAACAAACGAAACGGCAAAACCAUCAUCUACAUGUAUCAAGUGCGCGGUAAACCCCUCAUGGAAGAAUUUCCAAGAAAACCUCCCAAAGUCCAUGGUAUCUUCUAUAUGAGGUAAUGCACGCUGCCUCUAGAUCAACAAGUAAUAUCAGCUCACGAUUAUCUUGCGACUCUGAUCACAUCACAAUAACAAUGGGGAACCCACAUACGCAACCGUUCUCCUUGGAGUACCAUGCCAUUGCACUUACGGCCCCCUCAAGCACAAAUAUGGCACCUCAAGCUGAUUUCCACCAUGCAAACUUGAGUAUGUAAUCAAAGGUGUAGAACGGAGUCAAGAACUCAUCUUAAAGUCACAUAAAACUAUGGUCAUGCACUCAUGGAUCACGACUACUACCUUCAGGCUCACAAAUUAAUGCCCCCUUUUCAAUCAUAUAUAUGAGAAGAAACGUGUACAAAGUACACAUUAACUGGUCACGAAAAAACUUUCGUGUAGGGAAAAGGAUCACAAGGUCCACUCCACUCCGCACCUCAGCUAAAUAAAUCAUUUUUCGAAAGUGAGAUAGUCUUAACUCUUAAGUCUUAACCCAUCCAUCUAAGUUACUAGUUUCUGUCUUUUAUAAGUCAUUUUGUUUCUUUUUCUUGGAUUUUAAUUGAAGCCAAAAUGUGUGAAUUAAAUCCGGGAGAUGGAAAAAAUGUUCGAUAAUUUGAAUUAUUAUUUUUAUAUGUAUUUUGUAUUUGAAUCAUGAAUUUUUUAUAUUUCGUUUGCAUAGAAGAAUCCAAAAACAUAUGAUUUUUUGUCAAAACAAAAACUUAAAACCAAACAUAUAGUAGAUGCGACGUUUUCAUUAUCAUUUGGAAUCUAGUUUUAUUUAGAACUUUUUGGGAACGUUAACUACUUUUCCUUCUAAAUAACUGUUUCAGCUUUUAAUGCAUAACCAAUGAUCAAAUUUAACGUAAACAAAAUUUCCAAAAUUUAGUAACUUCAUGCUUGACAAAUUUCAGUCUUUGUCGAUCCUUGCUUUAUGUAAUGCUAUUUCUUGACUUAAUAUCCCACUUAGGGGUUUGGAAUACAUGUUUUAUGUUUAUAAUUUUAAAAGAUGCAUUUGAAUUUUCUGUAUAUACUACCUUUUCCAAAUCUCCAAUGGCUAUGUCAUCUGAAAAAUGGUUACACUCCCUUACAUAAACUUUUCUCUAAAUAUCGAGGUUUGAUUGAUUGCUUUCAUGUGCAAAAUUUCUUAAAACAAUGUAGCAAGUUUUUCUUUUUUUAUUAGAGUUUAUUGGUUAGUCUAGGGAGUCAAAAGCAAGAAUUAUGAGGAUAAUUUAAAGGAGCCACAAUGUUGUUUAAAGGAGCUAAACGAAAAAUAAGAUUUCAAAGAUUUAAGGGCAAAAAUGAAAUGAAAUGAUAACUAUAAUUAUAGAGAAACUGAUAGGAAUAACAUUUUCACUUUCAAACAAUAGUUCCUCAACUGUUAAGUCGGCAAAUAAUUUCUUAAAUUUGCAUUGACCACAUAGAAAUGGGUUCCAGAAUAAUCAACGCUGAAUAUUCCAGAAAGGGGAUUAAGCUUCGGUGAAGCUUGGGGGCUUGUAGGCAAUGAAACUGAUGCAUUGGACUUGACGGGUGUUGUCGAAUCCGAUGAUCCUAAUGAAGGCGCCAGGGUACUCCUUCUUGCAUUCUUCAACUUCCUUCAACACUUGAGCGGAGUCGGUGCAUCCGAACAAUGGAAGCUUCCACAUUGUCCAGUAUCGUCCAUCAUAGUAUCCGGGAGUGUUUCCGUGCUCACGGUACACAAAUCCGUGCUAUAUAUAAAGAAAACCAUUCAAUACAAUUGAUAUAUAUAUUGGUGAUAGUCUAUUUCGGUUAUCCACUUAAGUUUCUAGCAAUGAAGAAGAAGAAUAAAGGAUGCUUAGAGACAAAGGAAAAGUUCAGUGUAUAUUACCUCCAACUCGAAUUCAACACAAGGAAUCCACUUGUUGCGGAGAAGGUAGUCAACUUCCUUAGCCAAUUCAACGUCACUAAGGUCAGGGAGGUAAGAUAGAGUCUCAAACUUCUUCUUUCCGAUUGGUGGCCACACCUAUAAAUUCGAAUUCCCAAUUAUUCUAAAGUAUUGUUCAGUUGCACUAAUUGCACAUGACAAAAGACAGUUUUCAUUAAUGACAUUUACCUUCAUGCAGCUAACUCUUCCUCCGUUGCUUGUGAUGGAAGUAAUGUCGUUGUUGGCCUUGCGGGUGACCGGGAAAGAAGCGGAUGACUUCAAGCCGGUGAAUGGAGCGACCAUGGUGGCUUGAGCCGGGGAGGUAACCACAGCGGUGGAGGAGAACAUAGAGGAAGCCAUUACUUCUUCUUGUUGUUUCUCUUCUUCUUUUGGUUUUUCUCUUACUUACUUGUUUGUCUGUUGGUUUUGUCAUCUUUAUAUAGUGGGAACCGCUAGAGGCAACUAGCCCUAAUGAUCAAAGGGGCCAUAAUUCAUGAUAACGUCGUUAAUUGCCACAGGAUUAAGGAAAGGUGUUGACACCCUUAUCGAUUUGGACCACUAGGAUAAGAUCACGUGGCAGAAAACUCCAUAAUCUUAUCUUUCUCAUGUAAGGGUAGGAGUGAAUGUGUAUGGCUACUGGUCUCCACUUGAUCGGUUGCUUUUGGCUCCUUUCAAUUGGGAGGCGUCAAAUUGUAGAUAUCGGUUAAAUACUUUUUACAUAUAGAUUAAAAAAAUGAUUAAAUUUCUAUUACCUUAUAUUAACACAUUCAUAUUUUUAUUUUUCCACUUGAUAAUCUUAAAUAAUAAGAAUAUAAGUAUAAUCUUUGAAUUCAUCCCACAUUUUAAAAGUAUAAUUAAAUCAGACAGAGUUCAUUCAAAAUGGUUUUUAAUUGGGAAAUGUAAACUAGUAUUUUGUGUUAUUAUUUUCUAUGUAGUAUGUACGAUCACUAGAACUUUUAGUCACAUAAUGGAUAUUAAAUUAGAAAACAAUCCAAAUGCUUGUGAAUUUUCAGGUUUUACGGCUAAUUAAUAUAUUUCUGAUGAACAAGAGGAACCCACGGCACCGUUCCUUUUGGAGCACAACGCAAUUGCACUUACGGCCCACUUAAGCACGAAUGUGGCACCUCAAGAUAAUUCCCACCAUGACAACUUAAGCACAAAAGCCAUGACGGAUCAUGGGGAAAUUUUAUAACACACUUCAAUGGAUGGUGUGGAUCCGAGGGAAGAAUCCACACUCUAAGGCCACAUGAAGAAGCUCAUAUGGUCAUGGGUCCACGAAUACCACGUAAAAGCUCAUAUAUGCCCCGGUCCAACCAUAUGAGAAGAAGUAGCCAAACCCAUUCAAGAAACAUUGAUUACUUUUCAUUGUAAAUAAGUGUUUUAGCUUUGAAUGUAUCGUAAACUAUCUAAUUUAAUGUAAAACAGUUUCCAAAUUAUAAAUAUUCAUGCUUUGUUAUCUCCAUUAUAAAUUUCAUUAAUUCUUGCGUGUCCUUGCUUGCUAUGAUGUCAUCUCUAAAUUUUUGGACUUGCGGCUCUAGAAUUCAUGUUUAUGGAUUUAAAAUAUACAGUUGGAUUUUUCUAUGUCAUUUUAAAAAAGAAAAUUUUUAGAUUAGAUUUUAAAAAGAGAAAUAAACGUGUUUACAACUUAAUGCAUACUUUUUUGAAAAACAAAUCUAAAACAGAGGAUUUGGUCUUAAGCUUGUCUUGUACCAAACCAAACUUGAAGACCUCCUUCAUACUUCAAAGCUCCCCCCACUCCGUAUUGUGCUCAGCCGGUUCCAAACAUUUUUGUCAAUUAACUUGACAAGUUUCUCCAUUGGUGAUGGUUGUUCACCAUGCUUUCAAGCAUUUCUUUCUCCCCAAAUCGAAUGAACCGUGUUUUGGAAGACAUACCGUAGAAUGAAGAUUUUUGUUUUGUCAUAGUUUUUGUCACAAAUGGUUUUAAAGACUUCCCUCCAAUAUGUCGAGUACUUAUCAAGUAGUAUUCCCCUUAUCAGCUUCUCCCAUACCUUCUGCGAGUAAGAGCACCCAAAAAAAAGAUGGUGUCUUGUUUCCAUAGGUUCGUGACAGAACAUGCAGUUUGUGUUCACUUGUUGAUUCCAUUUAAACAUUCUGUCUCCCGUGGCAACUCUGUUUUUUGAAGCUAGCCAACUGAGAAAGGAGUAGUUAGGGUAAAGUAAAAGAAACAGAUCCCUUUGUAUCCGUCCAUCGUAGGCUUAGUGUUGCGAAUUUUUGAGCAUGUAUCUCUUGUGACAAACUUUUGACGGUAGUGAUCAUUUUUUCCUUUCCAAAGGGCUAUGUAACUUUCAUCUUCUCUGAGACGACAUCUCUAUUUUCUACGUAUUUUUACUACCUUUACUGGCUGUUUUUCAUCUUUAAAUUAAAAUGUUCUAAAUCAACCCUCAAAAUUUGAUUGAUGGACGCAUCUUUGCUAUGCUUUCAAGUGCGAAAUGUACCUAAAAAGGGUACUCUUUCAUUAGAGAACCAAAGGCAAGAAUUAGGAGAGAAAUUUAAAGGAACUAAAAUGUUAGUUAAAAGAGAUAAAACGAAUAAAAAGAGUUAAAAGUGAUAAGAGCAGAAAUGAAGUGAUAUGAAUAGAGAUUUUUAUAGAGGAAACGAUAGAAAAACAAACCUUCAGUUUUUUCACUUUGGCAAAAUAAUUACUUAAAUUUACAUUGACCAUACAAAAUUGGGUUCCGGAUAGUCAACAUUGAAUAUUCCAGAAAAGGAUUUAAGCAUCAGUGAAGCUUGGGGGCUUGUAGGCAAUGAAACUGAUGCAUUGGACUUGACGGGUGUUGUCGAAUCCGAUGAUCCUAAUGAAGGCGCCCGGGUACUCCUUCUUGCAUUCUUCAACUUCCUUCAACACUUGAGCGGAGUCGGUGCAUCCGAACAAUGGAAGCUUCCACAUUGUCCAGUACCGUCCAUCGUAGUAUCCGGGAGUGUUUCCGUGCUCACGGUACACAAAUCCGUGCUAUAAACACAUAAGAAAACCAUUCAAUACAAUUGAUAUUGGAGGAUAUGCACAAGGUGAUAUAGUCUAUUUCGGUUCUAAAAAAUCCGGUUAUAGGCUAAUAUUUCUAGCAAUGAAAACGAAAAAAAUAAUAAUGAUUAGUAGACAAAGGAAAAGUUUUGUGUAUAUUACCUCCAACUCGAAUUCAACACAAGGAAUCCAUUUGUUGCGGAGAAGGUAGUCAACUUCCUUAGCCAAUUCGACGUCAGUAAGGUCAGGGAGGUAAGAUAGAGUCUCAAACUUCUUCUUUCCGAUUGGUGGCCACACCUAUAAUUCCCAAUUCCCAAUUAUUCUUAAGUAUUGUUCAGUUGCACUAAUUGCACAUGACAAAAGACAGUUUUCAUUAAUGACAUUACCUUCAUGCAGCUAACUCUUCCCCCAUUGCUUGUGAUGGAAGUAAUGUCGUUGUUGGCCUUGCGGGUGACCGGGAAAGAAGCGGAUGACUUCAAACCAGUGAAUGGAGCGACCAUGGUGGCUUGAGCCGGGGAGGUAACCACAGCGGCAGAGGAGAGCAUAGAGGAAGCCAUUACUUCUUCUUCUUCUUCUUUUGCUUAAUUGUUUUUCUAUUGGUUUUGUCAUCUUUAUAUAGUGAGAACCGUAAGAGGCAAAAAGCCCUAAUGAUCAAAGGGUCCGGGAUUCAUGAUAACUCGUUCACUACCACAUGAUUAAGGAAAGGUGUUGACACCCUUAUCUUAUCUUUCUUUUGUGAGGAAAUGAGUGAUUGUGUAUGGUUUACUAGUCUCCACUUGAUCGGUUGCUUUGGCUCCUUCCUUUUGGAAGAAAAGAAAUCAGAUGCAUGACCGUAAAUAUAAUGUUUUGGACCUUUUAUUUAUCUUGUAUGUAUUUUUAAAAUUUGGUUUACAUUACUUCGGUUAAUAAAUACUAUAACAGGAAUAUCUAUAAACAGAGUCAUGACUCAUAAUGCAUUUCACAAUGUCAAAGCUGAACGUUGAGAUAAAUUUAUCAAUAGCACUAAAUAUUAAUCCGCGGUAUACCGCGGGUCUAUAUUUUCAUUAAAUAAAAAAUAAUUGAAUAUUUCUUAGGAUGACUUAAUAAAUUUCUGCUAUUGUUUGAUUUAAAUGUAUAAUUCACCGCGAGACAAAAUUUUAUAACUCAAAUUUUAAAGUUUUAAGUUGUAUUUGUUUAUUUUGUUAAAUGUUUAAUAUUGUAUAAUUGUAUUUUGAUUGUUGUUUCUCGGAUUUCACCCGUAGUACACCAUCCCAUAUUAAUAUCGAAUCAAACCCGUCAAUUCUAGGAUUUCACCUGUGGUAGUAUUUAAUUGUAUAAUAAUAACUUGAUUGUCAUUCUAGGAUUUCACUCCUAGUUCUAUCGCAAAUUAUUAUCAACUCAAACCAGUCAAUUCUAAAAUUUCACCCGUUGUACACCAUCCCAUAUUAAUAUCGAAUCAAGCCCGUCAAUUCUAGGAUUUCACCCGUGGUAGUAUUUAAUUGUAUAAUUAUAUUUUAAUUGUCAUUCUAGAAUUUUACUCCUAAUUCUAUCGCAAAUUAUUAUCAACCUAAACCAGUCAAUUCUAAAAUAUCACCCGUAGUACACCAUCCCAUAUUAAUAUCGAUUCAAACUCGUCAAUUCUAGGAUUUCACCCGUGGUAGUAUUGCGAGAGAAAUCUUAUAAAAGAAUCGAAAUGUGUUUUAAAAAAAUUAAAGUUUUAAGUAUUUUUUUUUAAUAUUGUUAAUUUUGUUUAGUGCUUAAUAUUAUAUAAUUAUAUUAUGAUUGUUAAUUAUAGGUUUUUUUCGUAGCAUAUCAUCCAAUGUUAUAAUUCACUCAAAGCCGUCACACCAUAUAACCCCGUCCCGUUAAAUUAAACACAAAUUUGUCAUUUUAUUAUAAAUUUCAAAUAUUUAUAAAAUUAGAAACUUCAAAAAAGAUUAAUAUUGACCCAAACUUCAUCAUUGAAUUUUGAGUGUUAUAUCUAAGAUUUCUCUCGCAGUAUAUCGUCCCGUAUUAAUAUCUUUUAUAUUGUUUAAAUUUCUUGUAAAAUUUGAUUUAUAAUUUUUUGAAACUUUUUAAAGUUUCAAUUCUUUAAAAUAAAUAACCCUAGUAAACAAACCAUUUUAAUUUUGGACACCUCAUAAAUCAAGUUUCAUGCUCAUUCGUAAUCGAAAUUAUUUUGGUCCUUUUUAUAGUAUGGCUCUGAACCAUUGUCCAAUUUUUUUAAGCGAUGUGGGACAUUGUACAAUCGUAAUUAUUAUCCACCCAAACCCGUCCUACCAUAUAACCCAGUCCCGUGAAAUUAAACAUAAUUUUGUCAUUUUCUUAUAAAUUUCAAUAUUAUAAAAUUUGAAACUUACAAAAAAUAAAAUAUCGACCUUGAUUAUAUUUAAGAUUUUUCCUGUAAUAUAUCGUCUUGUAUUAAUAUAUUUUAUAUAUAUAUUUAUAAUGUUUAAAUUUCUUGUAAAAUUCAAUUUAUAAUUUUUAAAACUUUAUCAGUUUUAAAAUUAUAAAUAUUUAAAGUAUUUUUUAAAGAUAAACUUUAUAAAAAGUUUUUAAAAUUAUAAUAUUUAACUUUUGAUAAAGUUAUAAUAUUUAUAAUUUCUUGAAACAUUUUAAAGUUUCAAUUCUUUAAAAUAAAAAACCCAAGUAAAUCGGAUAACUAUUUUAAUUUUGGACGACUGAUAAAUCAAGCUUCCUGCUCAUUCGUAAUCAGAAUCAUUUUGGUCCUUUUAUAAUAUGGGUCUGAAACAUUGUCCAAUUUUUCUAAGCGAUGUGAGACAUUGUAUACAUAUUAUUUCUUCAUACUUUGAAUAAUAUAUGUCCGUUUAAAAAAAUUUGAAUUACAUCAUAUGCAGAAAAAAAUAUAAUAUUUUAUUAACUAUAUAUAUUUUAUAUAAAUUCAAAAUAAAUAAAGUAUAAGAUCAAAUAAAAGUGAAAGAAGAAUUAUAUAUUUAUGUUUAAAUUAGGUAAAAAUAUUUUAGGAAAUUAGUUAAGGUAAAUAACAAAUAUGGUUCGUUUAGAGAUAUUGUUUAUAUUAAAUUUGGUAAUUAAAUCAUUAAUUUUUGUUUUUAAUUAUUAGUUUUUAGGUAACUUUUCCAAAAAUUAAUGUUAUCGAAGAUCAGAACAUAAUUAAACAUGUUAUCCAAGAUCCGAACAGAGUUAAACCGGGUUAUACCCACCCAUUUGAAUUAAUUGUUGAAUUAUGGCUCAAAUCUUCAAUAUUAUCUUCUAAAAACGUCUACAAAAAUGUAUAUAUAGAAGAUUACUCUUUUUAACUAAAUGCAAAAAAGGAAAACCGAUAAGAAUAAGAAAAAAAUAGCAAAAUUGAUAAAUGGAUUAGUCAAGAAAACCAUGUUUAAAUAUAGGAAAUACCAAAAAUGAAAGGAUAGCCAUGUGAUACGCUUGUAUAAAAAGAAAUUGUCCCUAUUGAUUACUUCAAAAAAAAAAAAAAAAAAUAAAUAAAUAAAUAAAUAAAGAGGCCAAUUCGACAAUAAAGGCAAUGCAUAGUCUCUCGUGGUUUCUCCUCGUCAUUGGAUUAUCCGUAGGGUUGAGUAGCGGAAAGUGGAAUGAGAAAAACUCUGUCAUCUUUACGAAUUCUCUUGGUCGGAACAAAGUCUUGAAAGUAAAUUGCAUAUCAAAUGAUGACAAUCUAGGCUUCCACUUUUUGCGCCAUGGACAAACCUACGAUUUUAGUUUCCACGAUAGUCUUUUCAAAUCAGAAUUCUAUUGUGACCUAUGGCAAGGCCCUAAUUUCAAGUUGCAUGCAGCAUUUACGGCAUAUGAAGGUGGUGGUUUGAUAGUUCAUUAUGGUAAAAAGAACUUUUGGGAUGUUAGAGAUGAUGGGAUCUAUUUCACCCAUGGCCAAAAAAUGCCCAAGUUAGAGUAUACGUGGAAGUAAUAAUUAAUCACUCAAAGGGAAAAGAUGGAAUUUAACUCAUCUUUUUGUUUUAAAGUUUGACAGAAACUUCAUUUUCUUGUGUAUUAUAGUGGACGUGAAACAUUGUAAUAAAUCAUCAAAUUAAGGCACCUUAAUAUGUAAAUGUAUCUUUAGUGUAUUAAAGAGAAACUUUAUAAGUAUGUGAGUUUUUCAAUACGCAAACAUAUCCAAGGCUUACGUCCUAACCAAAACUAAUAUUAAUUUGCACAUAUAUACAUGAUUAAUGAAUAAUGUAAGUAGACAGAGUGAGAGAUCACCCACCAGCUCUCCCUCUCCCCAAGUCAGCUUUCAUUUCAAAUCCUGAAAGGUAUCGUCGCUUGGUAGGGCGACUUAGCUACUUAAUUAGCUGACACCUGAGUUAGCCUAUUCAGUUCACAAAUUAGCACAGUUCAUGCAACAUCCACUUUAAGAACACUGGGAUGCUGUGAUAUGGGUGGUUCCGAUAUCUAAAAUCCAAUCCGCGCCAAGGCCUUUUGCUUCCCAGCUCAUCGACUUUGCAGCGUCAUGGUUGGUGUGAUAGUGAUUGGGCCGCCUGUCCUCUUACUAGACGCUCUCUCACAGGUUAUUUUGUACAACUUGGUGACACAAAAAUCUCAUGGAAAAUGAAGAAACAACUGACUAUCACUCGCUCUUCCGCAGAAGUCGAAUAUCGAGCCAUGACAUUUCUUACUCAAGAACUUAUUUGGCUUAAAAAGGUGAUGCAUGAUCUUGGUGUCUCUCAAGAUCGACCUAUGCGCAUAUUCUCUAACAAUAAGUCCGCUAUUGCUCUAAGUGCCAAUCCGGUUCAACAUAAACGUACAAAACAUAUUGAGGUGGAUGGUCACUAUAUCCAUGAUAUCCAUGCUGGUAUUAUGACUACUACCCAUGUGUCCUCUCAACAACAAUUAGCAGACAUUCUCACUAAGGCGUUGGGACAAAGAGAGAACUCCAUUUCUUUCUCUGCAAGCUGGGCAUUCUUGAUGUAUAUGCUCCAACUUGAGGGAGGGUGUUAAAUAUAUUUGCUACUUAUAUUCUUAUUAUUAGAGUGCAUCUUAGUCAAUAGCUACUAGUCAAGCUUAGUCAACUCUACUUUGCCCCUUUUGGUUUUUCCAUGGUAACCACAUUAUGUACUUUAGGUUAUAUCAUCUUUUUGUAUAAUUAUGGCUUUUAACGCCUAAUCAAGAUAACACAAAUUAAAACCAAUCUCUGUCUCUUGCCUUAAAUCUGACACUCUUUUGGAUAAGUUUCUUUUAAAAGCGUUUAAGAAAAAUUUCAACAUUGCUAAUUAUGAGAUAUAUGUCAACAAACUCAAGGCAUUGUUUUAUAAGAAUACUAGAUAUUUCGCCAAACCACUCAUGCUAUAAUGGGAGUGAAAGUCUUAAAUUGGAAUAUUAAGAAUAAGAUCUUUUAUCAUGACUCGUAAUUCAUAUCACAAAUGUCAAAGCUGAACGUUUCAAUAAAUCUAUCGAAAGCAUUAAUCCUUUAAAUAGAUGUGAAACAGCGAAAUAGAUAAGGGCACAAAGAAAACAGUAAAAGCGAUCAACAAGUUCGUAUGAGUCAAAACUCAAAAAAAAAAACAUGUUUAAAAAUAGGAAAGACCAAAAACUAACGACUAACCAUGUAAUACACUUGUAUAAAAAGACACUAUCCGUCUGUCCCUUUUCAUUAUCUACAGAUUAAUUACUUCUGAAUUUAAAAGAAGGAAGGCCAAUUCAAACAGUCAACAAUGAAUCGGCUCUCGUGUUUUCUGCUCGUUAUUGGAUUGUGCAUAGGAUUGAGUAACGCAAAUUUAAUAUGGAAUGAGAAAAACACUGUAUUCUUCAAGAGUUCCCUUGGUCGAAACAAUGUUUUGAAGAUUCAUUGCACAUCAGAAGACAAUCUAGGUUUCCAUUUUUUGCGUCCUGGAGAAACCUAUGAUUUUAGUUUCCAUGAUAGUAUUGUGAGAUCAGACUUUUACUGUGAAUUAUGGCAAGGGCCUAAUUUCAAGUUUCAUGCAUCAUUUAUGGCAUAUCAAGGUGGUGGUCUCAUAGUUCAUUAUGGUAAAAAGAACUUUUGGGAUGCUAGAGAAGAUGGAAUCUAUUUCACUCAUGGCAAAGAAACGCCCAAGUUAGAGUAUAAGUGGAAAUAAUAAUUAACCACUCAAUGUAUGAUGGAAUUGAGAUCAUCUUUUUUUACUUUUAACAAAAGCUUAUUGUUCUUGUGUACUAUUGUGGAAGGGAAACCUUUGAAAUAAAUUUAUCGAAAGUAUGUGAACUUUUGAAGACGAAAACUUUCAAUACUUAAGUCCUCAUCUAAACUAAUAUUUGUAGUUAAAUGAUUAAUGAAUAAUUAAUGUGAGAAAAUCCCUAAAAGAAUGGUGGAAAAAAAGGAAGAUGUGUCAAAUGAUUUUUGACUCAAAUUAGUUAAUCGGUAAACUAAAUACCUGAGUUAUGUAUGCUUUGGCAAAACACACUUAAUUGGGCUCACUAAUUGAAUUUACAGAUUAAGAUUUCGUCAAAGCCCAACAAAUAACGAUAUCCUAAUAUUUUUGUAGUAUAUGCAGCCCAUCACUUUAAAAAUUCCCGAACCAGAAUGCUACAUCAAAAUUAUAGCAUUCACAACAUGUUUCUUUUUGUCCAAGUGAGUUUGGAUGUAGAAAUUUGGAUACAAAACAAGUUGCAUAUUAUGAUGCAAUCGAAACUAGAGUUUAAAUGCAUCAAUUCCAUCUAUAACUAAUUAACGUAAACGACUAAAAAUCAACUAAUAUUGUCUAUGUCGACCCAAGUUAAUUCGGGUCCGCUUUUGCGAUACUUCCAGGGAUUUGUUCUAUUUUACCUUGCUUGUAGGACAUGUUCUAUGUUCUAAGCUUUUACAAUUCAGGUUGUAAGUGAAGCGUAUUUUUGUUUCAUUGCUUGUAAAUGAAACAACACAUAGUUUGUUAACGGAGUUGAUGGUUUCUAACCGCUAUAUCUCGUAGAAAAACUCUUGCUCCCAAGCUUCACUAUAUAAGGAAGAGGUUGCACACAUGACAUCACUACUAACUUUCGAUGUUGUCUUUUAAUUUUACGUUCACUCCAGAAACACAAGGAUAAAAACAACACACACACACACAAACAAAACAAAACAAAACAAAACUUGCUUGGAAAAUCUUAGUUUUUCACUUUCUCUAAAACUCUUUUUUCUUUUUUCGUCUUGUAUCACUUAUUACAUUUAUAUCUGAGCCUUUGUUAUGUAUAUAUAGCUGUAUGCAUUUGGGGCAAAGCCCUUCCGAGAACAUGUCUCCCUUCUAUGUCAAACUUCGUCUUGUGACUCUUGACCAUGAAAGCCCAUUUUUUGGGUGUGUUAGAGCAUCUCCAACAAGCCUUCUAACCUUCAAUUUAUUUUGAACCCUCUAACCCUUAUAUUUUUAGGAUGUAAAUAGUGCACCUCGAAUUUUAUGGUGCAUUUUUUACACCCUCAGGCCUCAACAACCAAAACUGAUUAUUGUUAAUAUUGCACAUAACAAGAGAACGGAAAAAUACCUUGGUAGUUUCAUAUCUGUAACAUAGUCAGACGUAUCAUUAGUUUAUUUAAAACAGUUGUACCACGAUUGUCUACGAAUACAGAAAAGGAAAAAAAAAACGAAUAUGAAAUUUUUUCCAAGGAAAAAUAACUAGUACUACGAUUUAAUGUACAAAGAUAUAACUUAAAAACCUCUGUCAAAAAUAUCAUAUAAUAAAUAUUUCUUAUAUUAAAUAUAGGAAACACAAUUCAAUAUGUAUAAGAAAAACAAUAGUAUUUUCACAUUUCCACCAAAUCUUCUAUGAUUUCAAAGAUUUUUAAUCUUUUGAUAGUGGAAGGAUCUUUGUUUAUAAUCGUCAAAGAAGAUACAGUAUCACAAUUAGAUUUAGAUACACAUGCGUGUGCAUGUAUUUUCUAAAAACAAGAAAAAUUAUACUCUCAUAUAAUAUGCAUUCUCACUUACGAAUAACUAAUUUGCAUAGGGUGUUGAUUGCGAUACUGAAUUGAUCAAAAGAUUAUUUCUUUGCUAUGUUCUUUAUUGGGGCGUAUCUAAAAUUAUGACGAUAUGUUUUUGACUUGUCAAUUCAGAAGAUUGUACCACUGAAUUAUUCUAUACAUAUUAUAAAAAUUAUACAUUUCAAAUAUGUUUUUUUCCACAUUUUGUACGAUUUUCAGACUUGAACUUUCAGAAGAAAAAAAAAACAUUUGCCUUUAAAAAUACAAACUAUAUUCAAAAUCUAAUUGAAAACAAAGAAUGACAGAAGACAACACAAAUGCGCAAAAAAAAAUAAAAAAAUCAUGAUCGUACAUAUGAAAGAGUUUCUUUUAAAUUUAUCAAAAAAAAAAAAUCGUGAAGGAUUUUCUUUUAAAACUUUUUUUAACUUUCUGCAAUGUGGUAUUUUUAUACAUAUGCCACAUAACACAAAUGUUUUUUUUUCUUUUCCAUUUAAUCCGACUAAGACCUAAUAAUUAAAAGAUAUACCUAUCAUAAGUUACCAGUUUUAUUUAUUUCUGAUCAAUUUCAAAGGUUACUGACCACAUAUCAAAAAAUAUUAUAAGAUAUAAAGAAGCAAGAAUCAACCUUAGUCAUUGUAAGUGCAAAGGCUGCCACCAAACUUAACCAAGAAAAAUUAAAUAUGAACUCCUUUUCCCCCAUCACUAAUCAUUCUUUUUGUUUCUUUGAUUAUUAAAUUUCAUGUUUUAUGUUUGUUUAUUAUUUUAAGGCUUAUCUAGAUUGAACCCAUCUUAAUAUUACAUUAUGACUUAUUAUUAUUGAAUUUCAACUCACUUUCUAAGCCAAUAAAGGUGAUCGAUGGACAUAUGCUUUUGGCCUUAUGCCAGAGAGUUAUUGAUUUAUACCAGUUGCAGUCUCAAAGCACAUAAUAUGACCUUACACAUAGACAACAGUCACAACUUUUCAUAUCUUUGUGUCUUUAAAUUAGAACUAAGAAGAUUUAUUUAUAUAUGUACAACUAGUCUUUUUUGAAUAAACUAAAACAAAAGCUUUAAUUUGGCCUAAAGAAAACACAAUCAUUUGGAAGAUGUGGUAAUUAUAUAAUACAUUUAUUCGAAAUCUCCUUCUCAGCCUUCUUACUUCGAAUAACAUAUCUACUAUAUUUUUGGCAUAUCAAUAGUUUUUUUGGAGUUUUAAAAGUAUGUGUAUAAAAGAAGUUUAAGAAUAACAAUUCAAAGAUAUAUGUCAUCCAUAAACAUAUUUCUUCUACUACCAUAGAUCAUAUUAAAUUCAUUUACUACACAAGUUUAUGUUUCAAAUACUAUAUUUUAAAACAUGUUACAUAAACCAAUCAUGCGGGUUUUUGAGUUUGUUCUCGUCACACUUUACACAAAACAAUAGAAAAUGUCUUUUUGAGGAAAAAGAAUUAACAUAAUUUGAUGUCAUAGUAACAUUUAUUCCGAUUUGUAUCCCUCAUGAAAUUCAAAAUCUCCCUCAAUCUCAAAAUCUUCCUUCUAGCCGUGCUUUACCAAGGCAUUCCAAAUCAAACUAUUUAAACCGCGAAAAUCCUCAUGAAACCAAUGGCUUCAAUAUCACUUGAACUCCAUACUUAGGUUUUAUAGUAAGCACAACGAUUGGGGCAUGCCUAUAAUUCUUUGAUAUUGUGAAGUUAAACUUUGAAAUUAACGUGGCUAAUAUUAUUUUAGCUUCCAUCAACGCAAACUGUUGUCCGAUGCAGUUCCGUGGACCGGCUGCAAAUGGGAUGAAAUGGCGACCAGACGCGAAUGGUCUGCCUCCAAAACGUUCGGGAUUGAAUUGGUUCGCGUCUUUACCCCAUAAUUCUUCACUGUGAUGGAUAGCAAGAACCGGUAUCCAUAUUGAUAAACCUUUAGGAAUGGUUAGAUCACCUAGUUUUAGAUCUUCAAAUGCCAUCCUUGGUAGAAGAGUAGCUGGAGGGUAAAGUCUUAGUGACUCGUUAAUCACUUUGCUUAACUGUUCCAAAGACAAAGAAAAAGAAGUUAGAAGACUAUUCUAUUAAUUCAUUUUGGAAUCAUAUCUUUGUGAUCAUGCGAAGUGCUUCUUGACUCUUUCUCAAACAUCUUUUAGUUUGGGAAUUGACUUUUCCUUUUGAAAAAAAUAUCAAUGAAGCUGUCAAGAUCUAAUCAUUAGUUAAUACAUGUUUAGAUUUCUUAGAUAAUAUUUUAUGCAAAGCAUGCCUUAGUGCUAAUCACUAAACAAAUGGAAGAUGUCUUAUUUAACCAUUUAUUUAUGCCUGAAAGAUCUAUUUACCAAUAUCUAUAUCGUAUCAAAUUUCAAACCUGGCUUAACCAAUGCUAAUCAUAUCUAAAUAGUAUCACUAUAAAACUAAUCAGAAAGUAUGAUUCUAUGUAAAUCGGUUAUAAUAAACAUGUAACGAUUUAACCCAAUAUGAAUAUAUCUUUAAAGCUCAAUAAACAUACACAUUGUUAAAAAACAAUAUUUGUGUUCUAACUAGGAUUGAAGAUAAAGGAAUAAAGACAAAAUUAAAUGAUAUCUACUCAUUAGGGUUCUUCUGUGCCGACUAUGACUAUGUUAUAAGCUUAGUUAUGGAAGAAGCACUACGAUGCUAGUGGCAUUGUCUAUACUGUGUUAAAUGUUAAUACCCCACACGCACCCAUCCAUCCAUCAUAAAGCUAAUUCUACUAGUCAAAUAAAUUAAUAGGUUACUAUAAUAUAUAGUUAUAUGAUUAUUAUUUGGAGCAAACAACAAAUAUUAUCUUUUUAUAUCUAUGAGUUAAUGGAGUUCGAGUCACUGAUGCGUGGUCAGACAAAAACUUAAGGUUGAAAAGUUGAAACGGUCACUGAUGGAUUAGUACUAAACCGUAUUUUCAUGAUUUUUUAACAACACCAAACUCAUGAAUGGUGAGCCGACGUAACCGCAAGUAGACUAAUAUGUCUCGUCUGCUAGCUAUUUACGUUCCAAACUUAGGUAAAACUUAAUUCCUAUGUUAACAAUCUCACCAAAAGAUAAGACUUUGCAAGAGAAGGACUAAUUUUAUGUCUAGAUUUUAGAAGUUAUUGUAUAAUAUGUAUUGAAAAGUGAAUGUACGUACCGAGGUUAGCUUAGAUAGUUGAUCGACUGAGGGAAGGCCAUUGCGGCCAAAGACCUCCCUGACCUCCUCACGGACUUUUUCCUGCCAUGUGGGAUUAUCGGCGAGGAGCAUUGUUGUCCAUGUGAGGAGCAAAGCCGUGGUUUCAUGGCCAGCAAAGAAGAAUGUCUUGCAUUCAUCCAUUAUCAACUGAAGAUUGUUGUUGUUAUUGUUAUUGUUCUUGUCAAUAUCCAUUUCGUUCAAGAGAAGCCCGAGAAGGUCGUCACCGUGAGUGCUACUCCUACCCAUUUCAGCGCAGUCUCGCCUGCUUUGUAUGAUCUCAAUCAACAAACGCUCAACUUCUUUUUUCAGAGACUUGAUCUCUCUGUUGUAUUUGCUUGGAAGAAACCUACAUAUACAAAAGAUUUGUUAUUAAGUCAAUGUUAGACCACAGUUAAAGUUUAAUCCUAAAACAAUAUACGUUUUAAAGCUUCACCGAGGAUCACAACAAAUAAAUAGAAAAACUAAAUUUUGUUAUGUAUAACUUAAUGUUUAAGAAUUUGUAUGGUGGCAGCCGCGGUCUGUCUGCUGCCACCAUUACUGAAAAUAUAGAGAUUAAUUACGAUUUCUAGGGUGAGGAAGAAAACCAACCGGCUGCCGGGAAAGCAGAGGUGGCGGGUGGCUUGAGCGCAACGGCGCUGGAGGACAGUGAGGUGGUUGAAAAGCUCUUUGCCUUUCUCAAAGCUGCUUCCGAACUUUGUCCUCGAUAUAAUAUCAGCCGUGAGUUUAUGCAUCUCCUCUCCUAUCUCCACCUCAUUUGCUCCUUCCCCAACUUCCUUCCUCAACCUCUCAACUAGCUUGCUUGUGCACUCCACCAUAUGCCUUGCGUAUCCCUACAUCAUAAGGGUACUUCAGUCAUUCAACGUCAAGUAACUAAGCAUUGUUUUUUGCAUGAGGCUAGUUUAUUGACGUGCCUUGAGUCUUUCUCCGGUAAAUGCCGGUGCAGCAAGGUGGCGUUGGUGGUGCCAAUCUUGGCCAUUAGCCAUUAGGAGACCGCGACCGAUAAAAUUCUUAGUCCCUUGUUGUUGUAGCCACGAUCUUCCACUAACACCGUUGUGUUUCAUCAGCAACUCCUUUAUCAAUUCCGUUUCCGUUAAGCAAAGCCGAGGAUCCGUCCCGUUCCACACAAUAAACCUCUUCCCUGUUUCAUCAAAACGUAAAUUUAUCUAAGGAUUACUCAUUUUAUUACAUGUAACCCUCCUUUAAUCAAAGGCCAAACAUUCUUCAGUAUGUUUUACGGAGAAAAAACAAAAAAUACAUGGAGGGUAUUUCCGUCAUUUUAUCUGGCUCCAUUGAUAGAUGUCACUUACAAUUAACAGACCAACUUAAUAACGAAAUCUAUGUAUAGACUUCACGACCAAGAAAACACAAACUUGUUACAAUUCAAGACCAUACCGUAUUGUUUGGACCAAGCAACGUAAUGCGGGAGAAGGCGGCCGACGAUGUCAUGGUGAAUAGAGUCACAAUCCUUGGAAGCGGAUUGCGAAACCAUGGCCGAGAUUUCAAGGAUAUUUCCGGUUAACGGACGCGGUUUAGGACCCGUUACGCCUUGCUGUUCCAUGAUCUUCUUGAUUCGUCUAGGUGUUAGCCAGUAGCACGAUAUGGUGUCGUAUAAAACUCUCAAUAUCGUAGUCACGAAUAUCACGAGGAGUGAUUUUAAUAUAGUAAGCAACAUUUUUGGGUUUUUUCUUUUCUUCUUCCAGCAACAAAGAUUCGAAAAGAAAAACAAGAGAUAUUAAGAGGGUGAGAUAAAGAGUAAUGGUGUAUUUAUAGUGUCGAGAUACAAUAUAAAUUCAUGUAGGGUACUAAAUCUGGGAGAACUAAUUAUGGUAUAACUUUGUUGCAUAUUCUCACUUAAAGAAAUGGAAGAUAUUGAGACUAAUUAAAUUAGUAAAUCUCGUUAUUUUUUACCUUGCUUGGCUAAACGUUUCCAUUUAAUUCUUAUACUUUUAAGAGAGACACUCCAAAUUAUUAUUACAGAAACAAGUUGUGACAUUUCACAAAUGCCAACUUUGGGAAGUUUCCAGAACUACAAAAAAAAAAACAUUUAUGUUCACGAAGGGUUCCUAAAAGUUUAAGAAAUAAAGUAUCCCUAAAUUUUUAAGAACUCUUCUUAAAUUAUAAGAAAUGUUUCAAUCAUUUAGUAUUACUUCCUGAAUUUUUAAAACAUUUUAUAAGAUUAAAAUUUGUGGCCUUUUCUUAGAAAAUGUUGUAUACCAAAUAUGAUUAAAAAAAAAAAAAAAAAAACUCAUUUCCUGAGAAUCAAAAGAGAACAUCUCAGCUCAAUUAUGAUCGAAUCUUGACCAUAAUUAUGUACUAAAACUUAUAUAGCGUAUUACUGAGAGGGUCGAGAGAGAAAAGGACUUGAAAAUAAAAUUAAGUCUCCUGAAACAGUAAGAACUACCAAGAAUUGUUCUCGUAUUUGUCCCAGUCCCAGUCCCAGUCCCACACAAAGCUGGAUCACAUAAACCAUUCAAAAUCACUGCUUAGGUAUAAGUGUUUGAUUUCUCUUUUAAUUCGCCUAUGAUCCAAUCUUAACCAUAAUUAAUCUAUGAGAUGUAAAGUUUCAAGAAUUUGUUUCUAAAGACAACACAAAAAAAAAAGGUCGUGUUAAAUACAAUGUGCUUGAUAUAUAAAAAGUUCGAUCCUGGCCGUCUCAUUAAGGGGACAACAUAUUAAUCUGAUAGCUAUGACCUGUGUCGCUGUAACAUUCGGGACAUGAUUGCACAACACAAAAUUUCAUUAAAACCUUACGUUUCCUUUCAUAAAGGUAAAAUCUCUACCCCAAUUUUUGAAACCACCCCAAAUUUUGAAACCUACGUCAUCAACAAUUUAUACGCAUUGGAAUAUAGACCAACAUUUAGUAAAACCUGGACCAAAUACAACAAGUCUGAUGUUAAACCACCGUUUCUGUCUAGCUCGAUUCUACUGUGAUGAUCGGAGUUGGUUCGGUAAAGACCCUAAGCUACAUUAAAUCUAUAGGCAAAAAGACAGAGAAAACAAAAAUGGAACCGAGUUAAACAACCUUGCUCUUCAGAUUUGCUUCUUUUCUUUAUCAGAGGAUCCGAAAUGACUUGACAAAGUCCACUGCGUAUAGUUGGUGUAAAAGGCAAACAUUAUAAAGUAUGAGAAACAGAGAAUCAUGAUCAGUGCUUCGAAUAGGAAAGGGUACUUCUGAGGAGGUUUAAUGGUAAGAUAGAGGACAUGAAGAACUACGGAGAUGAAGAAAUGGGUUCGUAGUAAGAAAACAUAACCCGGGAAGUUUUUAAAGGAGAAAAAUGAAACGUCGGUUUUCUGUAUCGCAUGGUGAUUCCCGGGUGAAUGAUAGAUGACGGUGAAGAGAAAAGAUAGUGUUAAGUAAGGGAUCAAGAGUUUGUCACGGCAAAGAAGAGGGAACAUCGAGAAGAGAGCGUAAUAGGUUAAAUGACUGAAAUGGUCAGGUAGUUUGAGAGCUAAUAGUGUUGCGGAGAGAAAAGGCAUCAGGAUUGAUUUCUCAUGCACUGCAGAUUCAAACACAAUGAAAGAAAAAAAGGGACUGUUAGAUAUUAAUUGAUGGCAACCGUGAUCGAAGAUCAAAGUGAAAUAUUUAUACCUUGGAAGGAAAACAAGUAGAAAGCCAUUGAACUGUUGAGCAAGCCAUAUAGGAAACCUUCAUUGCUUGGUGACAAGAUUUGCUGAACCAUUGAAGGAAGAGAAGCCAAUAUAGUUGCAGCUAAGCUGAUAGACUUGAGGGAUUGUGUUGUGAACAGAUUUUUCCAUUUUAUGAGUAUGGAAGUAGUGCACCAGAAAUUUGCCACGUAAUCCUCGUAUAUUCCCCUCUCAAAUGGAGCAAGACGGGAGAGAACCUGCAUCAUCAGCCAUUUACUUCAUAUUAAUGAGCACGAAAACGAAUGAGACCUAUUGGGUGUAUGCAAUUUACAUCAGAGGAGGAAGCAAAGAGUACAAUCUCUUAGUUCUACCAGAGACAAACAAUUAGUUUUCUCGAGAAAUUAUCAAAUACGUAUUUACCAUUAAGAAGUCGUCCAAAGAAUGCACAUAUGGCCACCAAAAAAUAACAAAUGUCACUAUGACUGCAAUUCCAAGCUUAAUCACAGAAAGUAUAGGGCUCUUCCGUCUUAGGCAUUUACCCAGUAGAUGGCUGAAAAAGGCAGGAGCAAAGUAUGCACUCAUCUGCAACAUCGACACAAUGGAAAAAGUGUGACCAGCAUGUUAUAAACGGGAACAGAACAGAAAUGAGGUACAUACAUAAACAAAGGGGUAUAUCAAGCACCACAUAAGAUUAACAAUAUUGUAUGUAUAGAACAUUUUACAUAAAUGCAACGAUGUGAAAUAUGUAUGGCCAUAAACACUACACUACAGUCUCAACAAAUUAGACAUUUUGACAUAACGGUAGUAACUACUCAUAUUUUCCAGGGAACUAAAACCAUCUAGUUUUUCAGUCUAUGAGAUUGAUAAAAGCCAUUACGUGUCAGAUCAUCUACAAGUAUACCAACUUUCUACAAGGGAAACAUAAGAAUACAGAAAUGAAAUCCCAAAGUCACCUGUUUAUGGCUGAGGGCUAGACUGAACAAGACACAAGUGAGAACCUCGCUCUCACAUAGUACCGCAGCAAUAGCACCAACUGUAAGUCCCAAGCUGAUACAAUUGUACUAUAACAAAUAAAAAUUCUAAUGAGAAUCAUCUUACAACCAUAGAAAAAGGAUACAUAAUCACAACACCAAUAGAGGUAACGGUCAAUACAAACCUGAAAAUGACCGUGAUCAAUGAGGAUCAAGCAAGGGUUUAAGAGAAUCAUAGCAAUAUGCCAAGCCACUUCACUCUUACCACCCCUAGUUCGAUUCCUAUGGUACACCAACACGAAAAACAGAGCAGCUGGGAAAAAUAUGAAAGCAUCAGACGAUAAAACUGUCCAUCUCAUCAACAAUUUUCUGCAUAACAAAACUCGAAUUAGUAAACCCUAAUUACACAACAAGCAACCAAUUGAAGAAUCAGAUCAUUUACCCAAGAUAAGAUUCGUGACCACGAGAGCUUAGAAGAGCAACAGAUUCAGGAUUGAAGAAUCGGAGGAAGAUUCCAUGGAUGUAACUUUGAUAAGCAGUUAAAGGAGGAUAAUCUAAUCCCCAGUAAGUGAGAUCGUUGUAAGUGCCAUUUCUAUACCAAUCGAUAACUGGAAGAUUUGUGGUUAUCUCCAUCCAAUGUCUCUGAGCUUCGAAAUCGCCGAAUUUAGGAGGAAUUCCGGCGCCGGAGUAUGGAUACAUUGUUACAGCAGAUCGGAUCAGUAAUGCGAAGAGGGAGAUGCAGAGAAAUGAAGUUGUGGUUCCUUUAUGUGUUAGCCACCACCAAGUAUCAAUCGAAGAUCCGGUUUGUGGUGAUACCGGAAUGGUGAUGUCAUCUUCGCCGGAAUGUUUCGCCGGCUUCUUCUUCGGCAUCCUUUGUUUUGUUUGUCUUCUCCGUUUAGUUUUUUUCUCACCUAAGCUAAGCUGAUGCAAAAUCGAUUUACGGGGAUCGGUCUCAGUUUGGGUUUAGGAAAUAUUAAUAAAAGGCCCUUGUAUUUUUAUGUUUCUAUAAAUUUAUCCUUGAAAAAUACAAAAACACCAUUCGACUCACUUUUUAUUUUAUGUUAACAACUUGGCUAAAGACACAUCACUAACACCAUUCGACUCACUAAAACUAUGAAAUAUAACUUUCACAUUAUAGGUUAUAGACUCGUUUUGAAUAUUUUUAAAAAGACUAUAUGAAUAUUUUUAAAAAGACUAUAAUACAAUAUAUAUUAAAUUUUUGAGAUGAAAAUAGUAAAGAUGGUUGGUUUGAGAUGAAAAUAAUAAGGAUGGUUGCUAUGAGAAAAUGUUAUUCUUCAAAGGGAAAUAUUUUUUCUUAAAACAGGGAUUAGCGAUUCGCAUCCUCUUCUGUCUUUCUUAGUACGUUUGUGUUAUAGCUUCAUUUCGAAUGACUGGAUUGUCCGAAUUACUCAUGUGUAUAGGGAAGCUAAUCGUCUCGCAGAUGAAUUAGCGAAUCAUGCUUUUUUGUUACUUUUGGGGUUUCAUAGUAUUCUUCUUAGGCUUGAUUUUGCUACUUCGAUUAUUUUUGAGGAUGAUAGUGUUGUUACGCGCCCACGGAAUAUUCGUGUGUAAUUUUUUUUUUUUAUUUUUUUUUAAUAAUAUGGGAGACUAAUCUCCCUCAUUCUACCAAAAAAUUAAGGGAAAUAUUUUUUCUUAAAUUUGUUGAUAUGAUAAUUAUGGUCUACAUAAUAUCGUGUUUUAAAUCAAUAUAUAAUAAAUGUUGGUUAAAACAAGAGCAAUAACAUAAUUUUGGUGAAAUUUCUUGGGAAGGUAAGAGGAAAACUUCCUUGAUAGCAUGGAAGUAUGUAAAUUAGGAAAUUUCAACAAAGCCUUACUUGUGAAACAAUUCGGCCGGAUCGUACAUUUAUCGAAGCUAGUUACUUCCUUGUAAAAAGUUUUUUAUGUAGUGAUGGUGGUUGUAGACCUUUGUAUACUUGGAAUAGUGUUCUCUAUUGAUGAGAUCUCUUGAAAAGUGGCAUAAUAAGCAAUAUUGGACAAAUCUACUAGGGUUUGGCUUGAUAAAUGGCUUAUGGAUGAACAACCAAGGAGACCCACUAAGAAAUAAAUUUUAUUUAUUAUUAAACUUAAGGUUGCUAAUUUGUUGAAUGAGAGAGGUGUUAAUUUCUCCCAAAUGAUGUUAAUCAAGUCUUAUUGAUUUAUCUUAAUUCAAACAAGAAAGAUUUUUCGUUUUGGCGAUUCAAUAAAACUGGAGCUGAAAUCAAAAUUCUUUCUAGGGAUAUAAAGAGUUUGUUGGAUUCAUCUCUUGAAAAAUUCUUUAAAAGCAAAUCAGGGAACUAGACGAAGAUUUUAGCGGAAGUAGCUCAAAAAGCAAAAGCAUCCAUGAAAAUUGCUAUGGUAGAUGAAUCACGAAAAGCUGAAAAAGCUCUGAUCGCUAGUAAAUAGUAAUAAUAGAUUGAGUCUAGUUGAUCAGAAGAAACUUGCACAAGUUAUCAAGGUGGUGGUCGAAAUGGAGGAUGAACUCGAGGAGAAGGUUCAAAAAGUCGAGAAGAUAAACAGAAAGGUAGAUGAGAAGAUGAAGAAGAAG